CUGGCAGAGAGCGUGCGGUGCGCACGAGA
rnacentral:sRNA from 1 species